rnacentral:tRNA from 1 species
GGGAGGGUAGCUCAGUGGUAGAGGGUGUACUUAGCAUACAUGAAGUCCUGGGUUCAGUCCCCAGCACUUCCA